UGAAUCCUUAAGACGGGAAAGGCU
rnacentral:piRNA from 1 species